ensembl:lncRNA SNHG28 small nucleolar RNA host gene 28
UUGUGCCCACAGCUGUGCACAUCCUGGGCUUCCUCCACACCUUGUCCAUAAACUGCCCCUCAGCUACCUUCAGACCCAGGAUACAGACGCAGCCUCCAGAAGAAUAAAUGCUCCAUUAGCAGCUGGCUGGAGCUGGCUGAGGCUCUGGCUGGUGACUCUGGCCUCUGGUGUAGACUUCCCUCAGGUGAGUGCAUGGAUGAGAGCUCUACCUUCUCCUGACUGCCCAGGCCUCAGGACAACAGGAGAACAGAUGCAAAAACUAUUGCUCAAGGAAAAUAAAGUGAAAACGAGGAAAAGCAAAAGAAGAUCUGGAGAGGGCUCUCACCUGACCACAAGCAUCCUGGAGCAAUGAGUGUGGAUCUGUUCAACAAGGCCCUGGUGCACCACGCUACAAACCACUGUCGAAAUGAGGUUGCUAAGAGUCACCUUGUGGAGGGAGAGCUGCAGGUCCCAUCUCAUCCAGAGCUGCUUUGAUCUGAGUUUCAGGCAGGAAGACUCAUCCUGAGCUGAGCUGCUUUUCUUGAAGUUGUGCAAGAACGUCCUGUUGGCUGGGGCAAAUUCAGUAUUUCUUUUCCUGGCCACUGUGCUGGAGCGUGAGGAAAGACUCUCCACCCUCACUCCCAGAUCCUGCAGGAGGCGUGAGAGCGGAUGGAGAUGGUGAGGAUGUCUAUUAAUAUGGUGUUUCCUGCAAAACGGUGCCCAUCUCAACCAUGGGUUGUCAACCAUCCUCGGUGUCUACAACUGCAAUUUACCUUUGAGGGCCCAUGAACUCUGAUUACCUGAAAGUCCUUAGGCCAGAAAGAGAAACCCCUGUCCCCCACCUCUCACUUUCACCUAUUUCUAGACCUUUUCUUACAGCAAUGCCUUGGCCCUCAGGAAGCAUCAGAUCUCAAACUGCAGGGUCUGGGGCUGAAGCUGAUGCUGGCAUGGGUGACUCAGAGUUCCUCUAUUAGUUCAAAUAUGUAAUAUCUUUUAGAGCCUAGGACUCAGGCUGGAGGCAAUUCCUUGGUGCCAGUUGGUUAAUACUUUAUGAAUAGUGGUGGGGGAGGGAAUGCCUUGGACUAUUAAUGUCCCCAUGGAUCUGGAUCCUGGAGAACUUCCAGUGUCCUGGAUGGAAUGUUCUGCUUGGCUCAUCUUGCCCAGAGAAGAGCCAGGAUAUGAGAAGAUGGGAGAGGGAAGGGGGAGGUGUGAAACGUGCUGGUGCUUCCUGUCCUCGUGGUGUGAUGGCUGCCCAGGCUGCUCCUUCGAGGCAGGACAGGAUUCCCAUGGGAGAUAUGAGGACCAUGGUGAUUUCCAGGCACCAGUUAUGUCCCAGAGCAUCGUGUGCCUGUGCAGUGGGGUUACUGAUAGUCCAGGCAUCAGUUCAUAUUGUCCUUUAUGGCAGAUCCUGCACAAGGGGGUUCUCUGUCUCUGGACCCACUCUGUCAGCAUGGACAUCCUUUUUCUUUUUCCCUGGUAAGGACAUCAGAAAGAAAGUUACCCCUCCAGUGUUUGGAGUCUUGGAAUCCUUGGCCUGCCUGCAGGCCUCUGAAUCCUCAGUGUGUUAGCCCAAGGUCACCUUAGGUAAAGGAACAUUUCUCCUGGUCUUCCAACACCCUGGAAAGGGAGGCUCUUCAAGAAUAGGAAAUUCUUCCUAGUAUCUAACCUUGGCCUGCAACUAUGCCAUACAUUUAAUUGUAGAAGGUAUGGAAAGUUAGGACUGUGGUGGACCCAGUUAAAUCACUGGACAGAAGCCAUGAGGCAGAGCCAGAACCAGCUUCUGGACUCCCUGCAUGGAGCUUUCUACUAUCCCAGGUUGUUGGGUCCCUUCUCAGUGGCCAAAGAUGCUAUUUUAUGAGCCUUGAGGACAUGACACUAAGUGAAAAAAGCCUGGCCAAAGGGCCACAUAGUGUAUAGUUCUAUUUAUAUGAAAUGUCCAGGAAAGACAAAAGCAUAGAGGCAGAAAGCAGACUAGUGCUGUGGGAGGAAUGGGGGAUUUGGGAGGUGAUGGCUAAGGGGUUAUGGGGUUUUGGGGGAGGUAAUAGAAAUGUUUUAAAAUUGGUUGUGAAGGUGGAUGCCCAACUCUGCGAAUACACUAAAAGGCAUCGAAUUGUAUACUUUAAAU